AUUGAACGCUGGCGGCAGGCCUAACACAUGCAAGUCGAACGAGUGGCGGACGGGUGAGUAAUGUCUGGGAAACUGCCUGAUGGAGGGGGAUAACUACUGGAAACGGUAGCUAAUACGGCAUACCCUUAGCUGUGCCCAGAGGGGAUUCGCUAGUUGGUGGGGUAAAGGCUAACAAAGGCAACGAUCCACAGCUGGUAGGAGAGGAUGACCAGCCACACUGGAACUGAGACACGGUCCAGACUCCGACGGGAGGCAGCAGUGGGGAAUAGUGCACAAUGGGCGAAAGCCUGAUGCAGCCAUGCCGCGUGUAUGAAGAAGGUCUUCGGGUUGUAAAGUACUUUCAGCGGGGAGGCGUUACCCGCAGAAGAAGCACCGGCUAACUCCGUGCCAGCAGCCGCGGUAAUAC
rnacentral:rRNA from 1 species